CAUCUCCUUCCGGUAUCGGUAUCCCGUUUCGAUGUGAUUCUUCUUCAACAAUGGCCUCUACCCCAACUUGGCUAGUGGUGUGUCAUCACAAAGCUUGCGAAUCAGGAGGGCAGGGGCUUGAGUUAUUCCAGCAAAGAAACAGAACUUACCCUAAUCAGGGCACCCGAAUCAGCUCUGCCCACAGACGUGACACAGGUGAGCAGGAAGACAAGUUGCUACAAAGUGACCAUGGAUCGUAGGAGUGGAGUGGAUAUAAACAGCCUGAAAGGGAAAAUUAAAGGUUAAAGCUGGAGGCCAGAGUCAUGUCAUGAGAGAAAUGUGAAUUAAACAAUGAGGACAUUUUGGCAAGAAGGUUCCAUUAACUUCAAGAAAUUCUAGCUGAAGGAAUCAAAAGGGCUUUGGAGUGUUGGCCACCAAGCAUGGAAUCCUAUUCCCUCCACAUGGUCAAUUUCUGUAUCCUUGGAGAGUUCUACCAGAAAAGCAGGAACUCCAGUUUCCAGAAUUUGCUUUGCUUUCUGAGUUAAAGUGGGCCAAUGAG